UACUUAGGGUGCAAGCGUUAAUCGGAAUUACUGGGCGUAAAGCGAGUGUAGGCGGCUUUGUAAGUCGGAUGUGAAAGCCCUGGGCUCAACCUGGGAAUUGCAUUCGAAACUGCAAAGCUAGAGUUUGGUAGAGGUAAGUGGAAUUCCGGGUGUAGCGGUGAAAUGCGUAGAUAUCCGGAGGAACAUCAGUGGCGAAGGCGGCUUACUGGACCAAACUGACGCUGAGGCUCGAAAGCGUGGGGAGCAAACAGGAUUAGAUACCCCGGUA
rnacentral:rRNA from 1 species